GACGAACGCUGGCGGCGUGCUUAACACAUGCAAGUCGAGCGGUAAGGCCCUUUCGGGGGUACACGAGCGGCGAACGGGUGAGUAACACGUGGGUGACCUGCCCUCAGCUCUGGGAUAAGCCUGGGAAACCGGGUCUAAUACCGGAUAUGACUCCAUGACGCAUGUUGUGGGGUGGAAAGCCUUGUGCGGCUGAGGAUGGGCCCGCGGCCUAUCAGCUUGUUGGUGGGGUGAUGGCCUACCAAGGCGACGACGGGUAGCCGGCCUGAGAGGGCGACCGGCCACACUGGGACUGAGAC
rnacentral:rRNA from 1 species